UCGAGAAUUUUUCUCAAUGGGGGAAACCCUGAAGGAGCGACGCCGCGUGGGGGAUGAAUGGCUUCGGCCCGUAAACCCCUGUCAUUUGCGAUCAAACCUUACGACCUAACACGUCGUAAGCUGAUAGUAGCGAAAGAGGAAGGGACGGCUAACUCUGUGCCAGCAGCCGCGGUAAUACAGAGGUCCCAAGCGUUGUUCGGAUUCACUGGGCGUAAAGGGUGCGUAGGCGGUCGGGUAAGUCUAACGUGAAAUCUCCGAGCCUAACUCGGAAACUGCGUCGGAUACUAUUCGGCUAGAGGAAUGGAGGGGAGACUGGAAUUCUCGGUGUAGCAGUGAAAUGCGUAGAUAUCGAGAGGAACACCAGUGGCGAAGGCGAGUCUCUGGACAUUUCCUGACGCUGAGGCACGAAAGCCAGGGGAGCAAACGGGAUUAGAUACCCCCGUAGUCCCUGAGCGGGCUGGCAAGGCGCAU
rnacentral:rRNA from 1 species